rnacentral:rRNA from 1 species
UAACGACUCUCGGCAACGGAUAUCUCGGCUCUCGCAUCGAUGAAGAACGUAGCGAAAUGCGAUACUUGGUGUGAAUUGCAGAAUCCCGUGAACCAUCGAGUCUUUGAACGCAAGUUGCGCCCCAAGCCUUCUGGCUGAGGGCACGUCUGCCUGGGUGUCAC